UUCAUAUUAAGAUGCCUGUUGCUGUAGUUCAACACUCGUAGCGAAGCUUUGCUAUUGGCACAAAAGCCAUAGCUGAAGUCGAGAAAUCCCAAAGAGUAUCGUACACAUUAGCAAAGAGUCCGCUGAAGUUGCUGCGAGAAAUCCCAAAGAGUAUCGUACACAUUAGCAAAGGGCGCAAGUUGUUGUAUCCAUACUUCUUCUUGCGACAGUUAUUAGCACGGGGAUGGAGACGAGCAUACCAUUUACGGCCCCCACCUUUAUCAUGAAUUGUGAUGAUGAUAUCCAUAAAAAAUGCUUUGGCAGUUGCUGUUGAUAAUAAAAACGAUGACGACUGAUAUUGAGAGUGAGUUGAUUACGAUGUCGAUGUCAUUGUGGUACGUUUGGCAGCACUGUGAGCGACCUUGGGGCGCAAGUUGUUGAUGUCUCCAUACUUCUUCAAUAAAUAAUGCAUUAAACUCUAUAGUACAAACAAAGAAUUUGUUAU